GUCUUUGGAAGCAGUGGUUUUGGGAGGUUGUUAUCGGUUGUGAAAAAAAAUCUCCUGAAGGUUCUGUUAUCAAUGGAGUUAUGCAGGUUCAAUGAGUUGUUAUAAAUUCUGUUGGAGUGUGGUGGUUUAUUAGAAUUUAGUUAGGUUGUUAGGAACAAUUAUCAGUUGUUAAUUCAGUUAUUCAGUUGAGGGGGUUUAGUUUCAGGGUUAUUAGGGAGAGAGUGAAAAGUGGUUUUGAGUUUUUGUUAUGAUACUGGUGGUGCCCCCUGAACGAAUGAUAACCUGUCUUUUAUAACUAGGGUUAUUAGGGAGAGAGUGAAAAGUGGUUUUGAGUUUUUGUUAUGAUACUGGUGGUGCCCCCUGAACGAAUGAUAACCUGUCUUUUAUAACUCAAAAUUCUGUCUUGAAUACCAUCCAAAUUCAUCCGAAAUUAAUCGUAAAUUCAAUUGUCA
rnacentral:lncRNA from 1 species